GACGAACGCUGGCGGCGUGCUUAACACAUGCAAGUCGAGCGGUAAGGCUCCUUCGGGAGUACACGAGCGGCGAACGGGUGAGUAACACGUGAGCAAUCUGCCCUUCACUCUGGGAUGUCCCCCGGAAACGGGAGCUAAUACCGGAUACGACCACUUCAGGCAUCUGAUGGUGGCGGAAGGUUCCGGCGGGUAAGGAUGGGCGCGCGGCCUUUCAGCUUGUUGGUGAGGUAAUGGCUCACCAAGGCUUCGACGCGUAGCCGGCCUGGGAGGGGGCACGGCAAGACUGGGACUGGGACACGGCACAGACUCCUACGGGAGGCAGCAGUGGGGAAUAUUGGACAAUGGGCGAAGGGCUGGUCCAGAAACGCCGCGUGAGGUAUGACGGCCUUCGGGUUGUAAACCUCUUUCAGCAGGGACGAAGCGAAAGUGACGGUACCUGCAGAAGAAGGACCGGCCAACUACGUGCCAGCCGCCGCUGUAACAC
rnacentral:rRNA from 1 species